rnacentral:lncRNA from 1 species
CCAAACAAGCCAUUAAGUGCUGAAUAAAUUUUGAGCUGCAAGAUUUACAGAAUAAUUUGUAGUAGAAAUCUUCCCGGGAAAAGGAUAUGGCGGGAAAUCUCACACUUUCUUUCCCAUAUAUAAACAACCCGCCACACAAGCCCUUCUAUUCUUCUCCAAAUUAAAAAAAAAAAAGAAAAGAAAAAUCCGUUUAGGGUUUUCAAUUUCCCCAUUUUUCUGAAAACCCCAAAUUAUGCCUACAGAAUUGUGUUAGACACACAGCAGUAGAAACUCUAAACUUCAUUUUCUAUUCAACUUCGCUCUGUAUUGACACAAGUAAAUGGGAAACAAAGGCACCGAUGAAGUCAUUUCAACAGUCAGAUCGAUCGUCGGCCUGGAUUUUUCCGACAUGGACAUCAUCCGAGCCCUCCACAUGGCCAAUAACGACCCUACAGCUGCUAUUAACAUUAUUUUUGAUAGUCCGAGGCUGUUCAAGAAACCUGAAUACCUUAAAAAAACUGGGCUCUCCAACGGCAAUUUGAAUCCCAAACCCCCAACUGUUGAGUCGAAUUUAGAAUUCAAUGCUAAAAGGGUGGGGAAUUCUAAUUCGGCUUCGAACUCAAAUGGGAACCUGAACGCUAGGAGUGGAAAAAUUGAGGGCGCGGAUAAUGAUAAUGGUAAUAGUACGUUGGGGAAAGAAAUGGGGAGUGAGUGGUGGUUAGUGGGAACCGCUGAGGUGGCGGGGCUGUCAACAUGUAAAGGAAGGAGCUUGAAUCCCGGUGAUGAGGUGAAUUUCACAUUCCCGGUUGAGAGGAAGUCGACGACACCCUCACCUGGGAAGUUUGGGGGUGGCCGUGGCCGGCCAGCAGCAGCUUGCUCAGAAAUUGUACGAUUUUCAACUAAAGCUCAUGGUGAGGUAAUGUAUGUGUGUCCUCUAUUAAAUUGCAUUUCAAGAAAAUAUGAAUUGUAACCAGUUAUUUAUUUGCUACACUAGGUAGAUGUUUCCAUGUUUAAUUGUGAAUGCAUCACGUUUAAUUUAAAGGAAAUAGAAAGUUGAAGUGAACAUGAAAAAUAAUAAGAUACUUAGUUAAGUAUGAUGUAGCAAACUAGCAUAUAAUGCUAGUCAUUCAAAAGGUAAACAGAAUCUGAACUGCUAUAAUUUCUUAUAAAGUACAUGGGUUAGAUUGGUUUUGCAUUGUAACAAAAUGUGGAAGACAUGUUGUGCAGAUUGGCCGCAUUCCAAAUGAAUGGGCUAGGUGUCUUUUGCCGCUAGUGAGUCAUCAGCUCUUUCAAGAACAGUAACAGCAUAUGCACGGACCUGUAAUGGAGGUGAUAUUUUGAAACACUCGGCUUACUAAUUUAACAAUACUUCUUGGUUUAGUAUGUUCAGCCAACCAAAGAAAAAAAUUGACCUGUAUUAAUAUUAACAAGAAAACAUCUGAAUCUACUUUAACCUGCUUUAAAGCAGAUAUCUUGCAACGUGUUACGAUAUCUAAUUCAUCAGCUAUUUGCUGAAAACAAAAUCUAAAUAGAACAUUUAAUUUGUCAAAUGAGAGAAGCACACAGUUGCCAAUAUGUGUCUUUAAUACUAACCUCUUCACUCUCAAAAACUGAAGAUAGAAGCUCCAGUGCAUCAGAAACAUCAAUUGUCUCCCACUUGCCCAUCAGUUCUAAUGCCUGCUUUGCUUCCUGACAAUAACACAAAUUAUUAUAAUUUUAUUUUUUUUACCAAUCGGUGAGAGAUGGAGGAUAAAGAAAAAUGAUGCAAGACAACUAGUACAAUGAGUGCAUAUUACUGGAAAAUUAAAAGCAUCACAUAAAUGGAACAUGCUGGAACUUUACCUGAACAUCACUCCAUUCAACACAACGCAGAAAUUUUGUCAAAGCCCUCUUUUCAGACAUCAGUGAAAAACGAAAUUUCCAGAGAUCCUGCUUCUCCUCUCCGCUCAAGGUUCUUGUUGGGGGGUAUUUCAAUAUUCUUUGAAUUGACCUAGUACAUAAAUAGGAUAGGAUUUCCGAUUAGCUAGGAUUAAAAAUCCCAUUAACAUAGAGAAGUUGCAGUGACGAAUAUUAUGGCCAUUAUUUAGGUAAAUUUAAAAAUAUUAAAAAAAAAAAAAAAAAAAAAGAAGCAUUUUUGAAUAGUGUAUUGAGUUGUGUCCAAUAGAACAUUAGCUAACAUAUAUCGACAAUUAGAAUUUGUUGCACAAUACUUCUCAACGUUAUAUGCAUACUGAAACAGACAAAGAUAAAUCACCAAUGAUCUUCAUGUAAAUAUUUUCUCAGAGUAGGUAAACAACAAUAAGAGAAACAUUAUGUAAAAGAGAAAAUGAAUAAAAAAGUAAAAAAGAGCAGAGAAAUGAAAUAAUAUUCCAAAAGGCAAGAGCGUUGUCCUAGUGGAAAAUAAAAUUCAUUACCAGAAUAGAUAAGAACCUUUAGAGUAAAAUAAUUUUUGAGAGAUGUGAUCCACAUAAUAAAAUGGUCAAGGGAAAGAAAAUAUAAGGUUUUUCUUCUGAAAAGAAACCUUCUCAUUCAACCAUAUUAGCAUCUUCAACAUUUAGCUCUAACCCAUUCUCUUAUAUCGAAUUUUAAGCCAGAUCCUUUAUGGUAAUUCUAGAUUUUCUGCAAUUUUCAGGGUCUUUAUUUGGUCAACUAUGUUUUCCGCAAUCCUAAUUUAACAGCCAAUUAUUUAGCAAUGUUAUGAGUUUUUACGUCCUAAUAGGAAUAAGAGAUCUUUCUGAGUUUUUUGGGUAAAUUAGAGAUCUGAUCAUUGAACUUUAGAGAGUUCUUCACUUCGGAUCUUUUCUUACGAUUGUGUAAAUGCAAUAAAAAAUAUCGUUUUUGUCUUUUAACCCUGCAAAGAUUAUAUCCCAAGCAAUCUGAUUCAAUUUUUACAAGUUAUGUCCGAAACUAAUGAAAAAUUGAACGGAAAAUCAAUUCUCCAACAUUUUCCUUUUCUUCCGCAGGGAAAGAUACCUUUGCUGUUUCUUAAAAUACUCCAAAUCAAACAACGUUGUUAACCUAAAAGUCAUUUAAGUAAGCAAAGCAGGAUUACUGCUAUCUCAGGAUAUAUCAGAUAUGGAAGUUAUUCACCAUCAAUGAACACUUUAUCCAUCUUUCUGAAAUCUACAAAUUUCUUACUCACAAUACAACCUACUCUUAGUCUUAAAAUUUAAAACUUAAAAUGUAGUUCCAACUUCCAAAAACACUGUUCAUUCUCAUGAAAUCAGACGACAAUUCUAUAUAAAUGACAACUUAGCUUUCAGCACCAUCAAGAAACGGGUUAGGAGGGAAAAAAAACUGCAUCGAGAAGACUACUUAGUGCAGAAUUUGUCUAGAGGACUCCAAGAGUUAGUUGUGAUCUAUCCCACGGAUGCACGAGUCACCAGCUGGGAAGAGCUCCCUGUCACGUCCAAGAAAACCACUGGAAAUUGACCACUUGCCUAUACGAGCAUUAGGUGCCAACCAAAGCAAUGUAACAACGAUGCCAACCAAUAGAUCAACAGCAUACAAUUCAAAGUCGGCCCAGAAAUCCUUUCCCCUUUGCUUAACUUCUGUAAAUGUUGCACAACAAGAAUCAAUUACCACCUGGAACGUUACCAGACCAAUAGUCAAACCUCCACCAAACAAUUGAAAGAAAAUUAUAUGCUACAUUUCACAUGUAAACACAUUUCAUGCAAACAUUAUACUAUCUACAAAAGUGUGGAUGACUUCAAAGAGCUUUCCCCAAUUGUGGAGAGUCUAAGAUACCUUAGAUUCCUCUAUAGAAUGCCAAGGAACAAAGCAUCCAAGUUCUUGCCAAAUUUCCACGUCAUUUUCUAGUAGAAAAUUUAAGUGCAUGUUUGGUAAUGCUUUUAAGAGUUAUAAGCUGGCCAAACAUCAUUUUGAACCAAAUCCCUUGUGACUCACUACUUAUAAGCACUUAAAAGUUUAGCCAAGCAAGCACUAAGUAAAAAAAUUUAUUUGUUUGUUGAGAUGAAAAAAAGGAAUUUAGAAAAGGUUAAGAGAGGAAGUCAGUUCAAUUGAGAACGUGACAUAAUUGUUAGACAACGACAAGAGAGUUAGGAAGUUGAGAUUACAUAUUACUUUAAAAAUCACUAAGUUCUAUUGGGAGUGUGAGAUAAUUAUUCCACAUCCUAAUAUUAACACUACAUUUAUCUUGGUGCAUGUGAGCAAGCAAGGAAUUCAAGAAGCACAAAGAAGACAAUUUGGUGGUGAGGUGAGGGGGAGACCUGUCGCACACACAAUUAGGAAAAAGGAAAGAGAAAUAGAUGAGAUGGAGACAAUUGGACUACAUGAAAGGAGGUAAGAUAAGCUCUAAUAGGGAGGUGAGUGGGAGCAUGUGAAGUUGAAAUGUUGAUAGGGAGAGGGCUAGGUUGAGGCAGAGUGAGUAAAUACAGGUAAUUUGGGUUCAAGGCAAGAUAGAAUGAGCCUGGUAGGAAGUAAAAAGAAAGAUCUUGAUUUUUUAAAGAUUUGCUUGAAGUUCACAAGUCAAAUUAACUUUGAGAAGUUAUUACGACUUUAUACACGGUAAAUUUAAUGCAUCAAGUAACCAAAAGUGGCUUAAUGCUUGUUUGGCGGAGCUUUUUCAUAAAAAUUAUGUGCGUUUUUUUGACCGUUGUUAGGUGGGACCCAAUGUGAGAGCCAAAGUCAACAAAGAUGGUUGAUUUUGAUUUGCAAUGGUCCAAGAUACCUUUUUUCCUUUAAAAGCGACUCCAAACAGGCCUUUAGUUAACGAAUCCCGUCAAAAGCGAGGGUAUUCUAUUUUCUAUCCCAUUUGGUAGCAAUUUUUCAUCCAAAAAAAUCAAUUUUUUUUACCGCUAUUUUAUUAUUUUAGCCGUUAUUUUUUACUUUUUCACUCAACAAUAAAAAAAAUCGAUUCUCAUAAUCACUAUUGAACAGGCCCUAAGAAAUUAUCAUCUUCUAGAAGAUUAUAUAGUCUGAAAAAACAAUAAACUUAUCAAUCAACAAAUCAAUUCUUAAAAAGCGAUGUCCCUAAAAUACGAAUUAGGCCUUGUGUUAGUGUAAAUAAUUUUUUCAGUGAAUUUGUACUUAAAAUUAAUAUUUGAUUACGGUGAAACCCAAACAAGCCAUUAAGUGCUGAAUAAAUUUUGAGCUGCAAGAUUUACAGAAUAAUUUGUAGUAGAAAUCUUCCCGGGAAAAGGAUAUGGCGGGAAAUCUCACACUUUCUUUCCCAUAUAUAAACAACCCGCCACACAAGCCCUUCUAUUCUUCUCCAAAUUAAAAAAAGAAAAGAAAAGAAAAAUCCGUUUAGGGUUUUCAAUUUCCCCAUUUUUCUGAAAACCCCAAAUUAUGCCUACAGGGUUGUGUUAGAUACGCAGCAGUAUAACCUCUAAACUUCAUUUUCUAUUCAUUAUUAGGGUUUUUCUUCGUUCUGUAUUGACACAAGUAAAUGGGAAACAAAGGCACCGAUGAAGUCAUUUCAACAGUCAGAAAAAGAAAAGAAAAAUCCGUUUAGGGUUUUCAAUUUCCCCAUUUUUCUGAAAACCCCAAAUUAUGCCUACAGGGUUGUGUUAGAUACGCAGCAGUAUAACCUCUAAACUUCAUUUUCUCUUCAUUAUUAGGGUUUUUCUUCGUUCUGUAUUGACACAAGUAAAUGGGAAACAAAGGCACCGAUGAAGUCAUUUCAACAGUCAGAUCGAUCGUCGGCCUGGAUUUUUCCGACAUGGACAUCAUCCGAGCCCUCCACAUGGCCAAUAACGACCCUACAGCUGCUAUUAACAUUAUUUUUGAUAGUCCGAGGCUGUUCAAGAAACCUGAAUACCUUAAAAAAACUGGGCUCUCCAACGGCAAUUUGAAUCCCAAACCCCCAACUGUUGAGUCGAAUUUAGAAUUCAAUGCUAAAAGGGUGGGGAAUUCUAAUUCGGCUUCGAACUCAAAUGGGAACCUGAACGCUAGGAGUGGAAAAAUUGAGGGCGCGGAUAAUGAUAAUGGUAAUAGUACGUUGGGGAAAGAAAUGGGGAGUGAGUGGUGGUUAGUGGGA